rnacentral:lncRNA from 1 species
AACAUUCGUCUGUCAUCUACUCCAUCACUGAGCCUUAUCCCCAGCCCAAGGGUAUACUGAUGACAUGAGCAGCAUUUAUGACAGAAUAACUACACUAACAAUUUAAUCAUGUUCUCUACUAAUAAAGAUAGAAGAUGUAACAAAAUAAUGUACUGAGAAGCAGGGAGGAAAAAUCAAUCCAAGGUAAGAAGCAAGCAUGAAACACUGUAGCCCAAGUGGAUAAAAUGAGAUAUAAGCA